UAAGCGGAGGAAAAGAAACUAACAAGGAUUCCCCUAGUAGCGGCGAGCGAAGCGGGAAGAGCUCAAAUUUAUAAUCUGGCACCUUCGGUGUCCGAGUUGUAAUCUCUAGAAGUGUUUUCCGCGUUGGACCGCACACAAGUCUGUUGGAAUACAGCGGCAUAGUGGUGAAACCCCCGUAUAUGGUGCGGACGCCCAGCGCUUUGUGAUACACUUUCAAUGAGUCGAGUUGUUUGGGAAUGCAGCUCAAAUUGGGUGGUAAAUUCCAUCUAAAGCUAAAUAUUGGCGAGAGACCGAUAGCGAACAAGUACCGUGAGGGAAAGAUGAAAAGCACUUUGGAAAGAGAGUUAACAGUACGUGAAAUUGUUGGAAGGGAAACGCUUGAAGUCAGACUUGCUUGCCGGAGCUUGCUUCGGUUUGCAGGCCAGCAUCAGUUUUCCGGGGUGGAUAAUGACGGUUUGAAGGUAGCAGUCUCGGCUGUGUUAUAGCUUUCCGUUGGAUACAUCCUGGGGGACUGAGGAACGCAGCGUGCUUUUGCGAAAGACUCGUCU
rnacentral:rRNA from 1 species